CUCUAGAGGCUUCUACUAGCCAACUGUUAACCACAAAACCCAUCCCUCGAAAACCAAAAAAAAAAAAGCAUUUGGGAGACAUUACCAUCAUAAUGACUCCCAAUUAAUUGUUUACUAGUUUCCAUCACUUGAACAAAAAAUUUUAAAAGGGCUUCUCUCUUUCUCAUCUUCCAGAAUUAUCUUCCAACAAAGCUUUCCUGCUUCAAUCCAAUCGAUUCAAUCCCACGACAAGUCCGUCCAUCUUCGAUCUUCAUCCAACACUCCCUCCACUCCAGUUGAUCAUGUUCAGCAGAUAAGUCGUUUCUCUCUUCUGUAAGCCAUCUUUCGUGAUAAGAUGAGCCACUUUAUUUGCUUCUCUAGGGAUAAAAUGAAAAACGCAAGAUUCGUAACCUAGACUCAGAUACUUUGAGUCUUUUUUAAAAACUUUAAUUUCUGAUCUAUCUUCAGACAUCUCUUGCAGUUUUUUGAUCACCGUUUGAGAGUCGCCUUCAAUCUCUACCUUCUUCAGUCCUAGAUGUAAUCGAAGACUGAUCGCUUGGAGACACGCCAUCGCUUCAGCAGAAAAAGCCUUAGCGUCAAAGUUGAUUUUUAACCACAGUUCCGUCGGAGCAACCCAUCGACACAUAUGAAAUCGAUUCACUAGGCACUCCCGGAACACGUGUUCCUUGGAUUCCAUUCCAUUUUGACACCUAUGGCAAUCUGCGGAUCCCAUGAGUCUCUUGUAGUGUAGGUUAUAGAAAGUAGGCAAAAAGUUACAAAAAAACCUCCAAAUUGUAAUUUUAAUUUUAGGAGGUAAAUCUAGGCUCCAUAGUCGCUUGUAAAAAUGGUUGUAAUUUGGUUGUCUUUGACUCUGUCCCUCUUGUAAAAGUAAUUUGUGGCCGCUGUGAAUCGUGUACUCCCCCGUUGGCUCCCCUCUCCAGAUGAUUUGAUCCUCCUGAUGAUUCAUGGGUAGAGGGAUACAUAAGAUCCAUUUCGCGUCCUUUUCCAAAAAGGUUUGUAAAUCAGUUCAGUUUUCCAUUUCCUCAUGCUAGCAUCAAUUAAGUCUUCGACUAACAACAAGCUCGAGUUUACAAUCAAA